AACCAGCCUGCAAUCUCUGUUCUAUGUACUUUACUACUCCUCGUGAUUUACUGGGAUAAUCGAAAACUUAAAACAGAAGCGUGGCCCUGAACCUUUUCACUACAAGGAAAACAAGACCUUUGUCCCGUCGGCUGAGCUCAGAGCCUGCAGCAUGGCUCACCUGCAAAGAGUCCUGAAAUCAAAGUCACACUGAUGGCAGUCAUAACUGGAUUUGUACUGAAGUGGGUGGAGAUCAAGAGCUCCGAUUGACAUGAGCUCUCUCGUGUAACAGAGAGGAGGCUGGUGGAAGCCAGCCUGCAAACACCAGGAUCGCCAAUAACGUGCUGCCCGCGGCUCAAAGUACGGGCCGUGGUGAGCCGGGGCUGAAAUAUUAACCAGGCUUUGGGGCAGGAAGGCUCUGUAGUUGCCGCUGUGUAUGUGUGUGGUGAUGGGGCUGGAAUAAGGAGCUGAUUGAAUGAACUACGGGCUUUGGGGAGGACUGAUCAUUUAUGGAACUGAGAGCUGUAGUGGCAGGGGAAAAAAGGAUCGCAAGGAGUUCUUUUUGCCCCACACCUCAGAUGGUUUGGAUCCGGGUAGUGUUUUCAGUCUGUAUUUGUUUAUUUUCUAUUUCUAUCGCUGGAGAUGGAGAGGAGAGAUAGGACAGGGCAGCAGUGGGAGUGUUGUAAUCGCGUUACUGAGCCCAGCUGACACCAGGUGCAGGUAAACAUCUCUGCUUGCCCAGAUGGGUGACAGCCCAUAAAUCCUGGGAGCAGCCUGAUGAAAAACAAGGCUUUUGCAACUGUGCCUUUGUACUUGGAAGAAGUUGUGUGUGCAUGACUGAUGGGUGACAGCAUGGCCUCGGCCUGGCUGCUGAGGGACAUGGCUGAGCCAGAAAGGGCCUGACCCUCAUGGCUGUAAAACUGCUGUCUUCUUCCCAAGAGCCAACACCACCAGCAUGCAGCAUUUUCUGAAGCUUGGUGCAGGGCCAAAAGCCAUUUCCCUACUCCCUGCCCAUCCCAUGUAUGUGUGUAUUAUUAGUUUACCCACUGUGGGUCGCUCCCCAGCUGCCAAUGCAUGUCUGCAUGUUAUGUAUUGCAUUACGUUAAGUUUAAAGAAGAGCAUGUCCCUGUUUGAGGAAGAACAGUAGUGAUGUUCCACCCUGCUCCUGUUGAAUCACUACGACACGGUAAGGGCCUGGAGCACGGCAGGGCUCUGUUGUGUUGUCCUGUGUUGCAGCUGAGGUAAAGUGUUGGAUCUGGGCUUUGUAUCAUAAGACUGGUUUCUGAUCAGGAUGAUGGAAUUUUAGAGACAAGACUUUGCCUUCACAUCUCGUUGUGAAGUCUGGGUAAAAGGAAAAAUGUGCUUGUUUAUGAUGCUUUAAAACACACGACUCAUUUUCAAAGAUGAACAAUGAGACCAUAGCAAGUAGAUCUAGAACAGACCACAGCAGUUAAUUCUGGUGCAGGGCUCUGUCUUGGAUUGUAAACUCUGUGAGAUGCAAACAUCAACAUUCACAUGAUGUUUAGCCUGCACAACACAGCAUCUCCAACCAGGCUUUCAGAUCACUCUACAGGAAUGUUUAUCUCACUGAAUGCCUUCUUGUGACAGUCACAUUUUACAACAGCCAUGCACAUGGGUGACCAGCAUUGCAGGCAGUGUCUGUGUGGCAUUGGAGCCAGUACACACCAGUGCGGCUGAGGCUGUGCCAAGCCCCUGCUUUGCUAUGCUUGCUUUACAGUGGUUGGAACCCUUUUGGGUGCUGUGAAUACUCAUCUCAGUCAUGGAAUCACAGAAUGGUUUGGAUUGGAAGAGACCUCAAAGCCCAUCCAGUCCCACCCCAUGCCAUGGGCAGGGCUGCCACCCAGCAGCUCAGCUGCUCAAGGCCCCAUCCAACCUGGCCUUGAGUGCCUGCAGGUAUGGGGCACCACAGCUUCUCUGAGCAAAUCAGCUUCUUGGAAGGAGUAACGUGAGAAGAGUAAAAGUAAGUGCAUUGCUGUGUGACCAGUCAGCAGACGCGCAAAGGAUUUUGUAUUGAAAAGGCAAAAAGAAAAAAAAAAAAAGCAUUAAAAUUACCAUUGCCAUGCUGCCCUCUGGGUUUACACAAAUGCGGUGCAGGGAAGAAUUAGGCUUUUGCAGUUUCAUGUUUCCUUGACCUUUUGAGAGAAGAAUGAAAAAUCUGAUCCAACUGCUGCUCCCUGUUACAAUGCUGAAAGAGCAAUGCAAACUUAAUGUGCUGACUCCCGAGGAGCAGAAUUUCAACUUGCCUAUUGAAAAACCUGGGAGAGAACUGAGGUCUGUAGAGAUCUGAAUGAAGCUGGAUAAUCUGAAUGCCAAACCUCUCUCCCAGGUGGGUGCAAUUACUGGUGCCAAAGCAGAUUCCUUCACCCCGCUCCAGUGGUGACUGGCUUAAGAUAAGAGCAAGGCAGGGAGAAAACACACAGCUCCUCUGGUGCAAUGUCUCCCUGCUGUACAAUGGGCAGCACCUCCCCUGUGCUGCAGCUGCUGCAGCUGGGUGCAGUAGCUGUGUCGUGCUUCCACUCGCAUUGCCCUCACUUGGUGCUUGGGAAACUCUCAUACCAUUAAUGGUUUGCUUUGCUUUGGCUCAGUUUCCUGGUUUUAUUUUCAUCCUACCAGCUUGCUGAGGACAAGCACAGAGGAUGGAUUGCUUCUUACUGAGUCUCAGCGCUGCCUGGGAGAUGCUGGUGGACGCCAAUCACUGCAGUGAAAUGCUGCAUAGCAAUACACACGCAGCUUUUUUCCCUUUUAGAGAUGAGCACGUGUCAAUUGAACAAAGGGUAGAAGUGAGGGAGUACACUGCAAUUUGCUAACGUGUGGCUGGCUUCCCAGUUCCCUGCGCAUUCCCUCAGCCAGACUGCAGUCGUCAUGAUGCUAUUGCCAGGAAAUAUGUAAACAAAAGGGAACUCUCCCUCUCAGCUGAAGCAUUAGGUUGGUUGUGCAAAAAGCCACUCAGAUUGAUCCAUGGUACCUAGUUAUCAAAGGUACUAUUUGUUAUAUGUAUAGGCGUACAGCACUGUUGACAAAGAUCACUUGUUAUUAUAUCUGUAUUUAUUGUGUGAUGAGUCAGAGCUUUAGGACCCUUUCACACAUGAUUGUGAUUUAAAAUUCAGGUGCUCAGGCAUUGCUCUUCUGGAGUCACUUGGAGAUUGGCAAGCAGGCAUUUUUCCAUGGAAAUAACUGAUCUUUAUGUCUCAGCCAAAUUACACAACUGACAGUUAAUGCUGGGGUGAAGUCUCCUUUCUUUUCUAACACUGCAAAUUCAACUGUGUAAACUUCACGGGGAAGAUGUGAUUUUGCCAGAACUAUCUACAAGUUGAAGAAGUCUCCGUACUGUUGUUUUUUUGUUGUUUUUUUUUUUUUUUGUUCUUUGUUUCUUUUUUUUUUUUCCCAGAUGAUAGGAAAGUUUUCUUCCAAAGGCAAGCAAAACAAUGAGCACAGUAAGUGAUUACCACAAACACUUAUUCCCCAGCCCCCUUAAAAAAGAAAAAAUGGACACCCUAGGAGAUGACAAAUAGCAUAGCCCAGCUCAGUGUUUGCUAUACAUUGGCAUCUCAAUGCUACACAAUUUUUACAUAACAAAAGAAGGAACAAUUACCGUUCUUGUUCAAGGACCACAGCAAUCCAAUGCUGAACAUGCAACAUGCACUUGUGAAGCAAUUCCAAGUGGCAGUUUUGAGCACUGAUAGCCAAUACAACAGGAAAAAUAAGCCACACUGUAUUAAGGAUUUGUCUUUGAUAGUCCUUUCGGUACAGCUAAGAGCUAGAGAUAGCUGGUAGGCUUGGCAUCCCCAUGGGGAUGCAGGAUAGUUGCAUGGAGAGGAGUUGCCUUUUAGUGGCUCACAUCUGUGAUCCGUUCUGUCCUCCAACACCAGCUGUGAGCCUCAGCAUGCAGCUGUCUGCAUUUGCAACAUAGAAAGAUCUUUGCUGUCAGAGUGAUGGCACACUGGAACAGGUUGUCCAGAGAGGUUGUGGACCUCUUUCUCUGAAGGUAUUCAAGACCUGUCUCACGCCUUUCUAUGUGACCUUGCCUCCUAUGGGAUCCUGCUUUAGCAGGGGGUUGGACUUGAUCUCUAGAGGUCCCUUCCAAACCCUACAAUUCUGUGUGAUUCUGUAAUGUCUCACCCCCAUGAAACACCUGACAGACAGAAACAUCCUUCUCACUCUGCCCUACUGCUUUUCCCCUUAGCUCUGAACAAAGACUCUCCCGUUCCAUGAAGCUUUGGCAGCUAUAAAACAUCACAGAGCAGCAGCUUCCCAGGGAUGCUCUGGGACUGAGCAACCUCUGGAUUUCCCAGCGGUGCUGAAGAACUCCAACAUUUCUCUGCUUUGAAUAGAGCUGGCAAAAUUCAUAAUUGCUUCCAUUCUGCUUGGCUGGAAAAUAGCAAAAUCCAGGCACACUGCCAUAGGACUGCUGGGUGCAGAGUGGGUAUGACAGAGAGCUCUGCACCAAGGCUUACCCAACAGAAGUGAAGGCAUCCCACAGCUCGGCCUGGCUUUUGUGUAUCUUUUAAUAUAUAUAUAUUUUUUUUUUUUUUUCCUUUUGUGUGUUUUUUUUUCUCUUCCCCUUAAGUGUAGCAGCAGCAGUGAGGUGAUGACUUACCUGCUGCAGCUUGGGAGAUAGCAAUCUGAAAGGGAUGGUUGUCACACAAUGCCCAAGCAGAACUUUUCUGGCCCAAAUUUCUCUGAUUAUGUUGUUACCUGAUCAGUGAAGAGAACCAUGAAAAACACAAUUACCAGGAAGCACUGCUCCUUUCCUUGUCUCUUUGUCUUGCUGCAGACGGGGCACGUGACUCUCAGAGAAAUAGAAGAGCUGCCAUUUUCAUUCACGUGACCCAAAGAGGUGCUGCAUGCCAGUCACACCUAAGUGUGGGAAAGCUCAGCCACUGGCUGACAAACCUGAACACAUCAUGUUUGCAGCUGGAAUUUAGAUGUAUCUGGUGGACCAGAGCAUGGCAUGAAGAACUGGAAAACCCCUACCCUGAAGACAGCACACGGAAGGGAGGAUAAAGGUUCGAGUGAGCUUGGUGUGGUGGGACAGAAAAUUUUUGGCCAUUGAUACAGUAUCAGACUAGAAGGAAAGGGGACAAGCAAUUUCUAACUGUGGGUGUUGAUGCCAAACUUCCUCAGUGCAAGCCCAUGUGUGCAUCCUGGGCUGCACGGGAAGACCUGGCUGUGUCUUCAGGGGAUGCACAAGAGCGAAGGGAAACCUCACCAGUGGAACAAAGGAUAGUGUCCUAAGUGGACUGGAUGAUAACCUGAUGGACUGAAGGAGAACCUUCUCUACUGACUGCCAUUCCAAAGCCCUAUUUGAAGUAUACACCAAAGACUACAAUGACAAAUGCCACCGAGUGACCAACAUUUGUAUCAUGAAUUGCAAUCAAAAAGAACUGGCUCCAAGUCAGCACAGACUCCCAGUGAACUUGAUGGAUAAGCAUGCUUCAAAGUGAUGGUUAAAAUGUAUUGUUUGCCUAUUGCAUACUGCAAAUAUAAGUAUCCAAAACAGGAGAGAACAGACUUUGGCAAGCAAACUGAUAACAAGCCAUGCUCUUGAGGAAGGCUCAUGAUUUGGAGGGAACACUGAGCUGGAAGGGAAUGCUGAAUAUAAAUAAGAAUCAAGUUUACUUUAAGCAGCACAAAUGGCAGGGCUGUGAGCCACAGCUCAGACUUUAUCAUUCUUCUGCUGAGGGAAUAGUUUGAAGCAUAUUUGCUGUUUUAUACUCUGAUGUGUUCUCAUUGCAGGAAAAUAUCAGCCACUGCAGAAAGGUCUUUAAAUAUUUAAGCAUGUUUUGGCCAUCUCUGGUUUGUCAGUUUAUGAGUGACCAGGGAGGACGUAAGUUCCAGCAGAGGAAACGAAAUCCCACUGUUAGGUCUUGGUGGCUGUCAAACUGUAAGAAGUUUCCCUGCCUCUAGAACAUAAAUCUUCCUGAUUUCUCUGUGUUGAGGGUGUAAUAGUAGAUAAAUGGUACAUGGUACAACUCUGGUGUGCAGUUCGUGUAAACUGUUGGGCUUAUAAACUGAAAUGUGUUAAAUCUGUUACACGAACAACACCAUCCAGAAAAUAGAAUACAGUCACAGAAUCGUAGAAUCAUUAAGGUUGGAAAAGACCUCAAAGAUCAUCAUGUCCAACUAUCCAUCUACCACCAAAAUUGCACACUAACCCAUGUCCCUCAGUACUACAUCCACACAGCUCUUGAACACCUCUAGGGGCAGUGACUCCACCACUUUCCUGGGCAGCCUGUGCCACUCCCUCACCACUCUUUCUGAGAAGAAAUUUCUCCUAAUAUCCAACCUGAUAUUACAAUCUCCCCUUGUACAACUUGAGGCCAUUCACUUUCAUCCAUUGCUGUCACCUGGGAGCAGAGGCUGAUCCCCAACUUGCCACAACCUCCUUUUAGGCUGUUGUAGAGAGCGACAAGGUCUCUACAUCUCUAUAUCUCCUCCAGAUUAAACAAUCCCAGUUCAAGAUUUGAUGGCUGUCAUGAUUUCCCAGACUGGGAGAAACCCUGCCUGCAGGCAGGGCCCUGGGGAAGGGAAGCUACCACUGCUGGGCCCUGCUCAGCGCUCUCUUGGAAAGAAGCACAUGGGAUAGUGUGCGCUGAAAUGAAAUAGCUCAGUGAUGCCACCAGCCCAACCCCUGACACUUCUGUGGGGUCUGGCUCCUUGUAGAAGUGCCUGUGAGGGUUCUGCUGGGGAUCCAGGAAGGUAUCACAGAGGGGUUUGCUCCAGUGAGAAGUUCUGCAAGUGGGAGGCUCUGUGGAAUCAGUCUCAAGCAACGGUUGUUCAAGAGAAACACGCUGCUGGUCAUGCUUUUAUCCUGGACCACAUCAAGCGAAGCAUUCUGGUGGUUCUGGAAGAGUGAAUUUACAUUGAAAACCCACAGCUCUUACAAGCAGUGCAUUAAUUAUUUUAUUAAUUUGCUCUUUUUACAUUAUGGGAAACAUUCAUCUAUUUACAUUUUCCUGUCCACACACCCAUCUAGGUAGAUAAUCCUAUGGAAAUCCAAAUCGUUAUGCCAUAAAACCACUCUCCUCUGUCUAAAGGCUUUCAAUUUUUAUUUUUUUUUGCCAUUUGUUUCAUAUUAGAAACAUUUUCAAAAUAACAUUUGGGAAUGCAGGUAGGCCAUCAAAUUACAUCCCGAUUACUUAAAACGCGCUUUUGACCUUUUUCCUUAAAAAAACAAAACCAAAAAACAAAACCAAAAUGAAAAGCCCCAAAAACUUCACAAAGAUUCUGUUCAAAUUAAAGUGAUAGUGCACAUAAAAGCAUUAAGGGAACAUGAAUAAAUAAACUGAACUAUAUUACAAAUAAGUUAUUUCUAUUUACCUUUUCAAAUAUUAAAAAUCUUUAAUCCAUUUCUUCAUCUUUCUUUACAAAAAAAGAUUAUGAGAAUUUGAUGGAAACAUCUGCAAAAAAUAUAAUAAAUACUGAUUUUUUUCUUUUCCUUUUUCUUUUUUUUUUUAACUUCUGAAGCAGGAGACAAAAGCAACCUUUUCUAAAAUUUCUCCCAAGCCAAAAAAAAAAAAAAAAAAAAAAAAAAUGAAAGAAAGAAAGAAGGAAAGAAAGAGAGAGAGAAAGAAA